UAAACUGCUUUGCCGAGUGCAGCUGGAUACGACCGCAGAGGUCCAACCCUAAACAGUUGGGGCAAAAAUGGACGCAAUAUUCACGCUAGAUACAGGUCUGAAUUUGGAUUGUAAUUAAAUAUUUGACACAUAAAAGGUUUCUGACACAGAAUAACUGUAGUCAAAGAACUUAGAAUUGGUUAUAUGAUUUGAAUUUAUAUUCAAUUUUUUGCUUUUGUGCAAUACACUUUGCUGUUGCGAAUUGACCCCCCCUCCCCCCACAAAAAUAAUAAAAAAUUUAACCCCCUUCUUUUUUUUUUUGCUUUUGUGCAAUACACUAUGCCGUUGCGUAUUAA